AACGAACGCUGGCGGCAGGCUUAACACAUGCAAGUCGAACGCCCCGCAAGGGGAGUGGCAGACGGGUGAGUAACGCGUGGGAACAUACCCUUUCCUGCGGAAUAGCUCUGGGAAACUGGAAUUAAUACCGCAUACGCCCUACGGGGGAAAGAUUUAUCGGGGAAGGAUUGGCCCGCGUUGGAGUAGCUAGUUGGGGGGGUAAAGGCCUACCAAGGCGACGAUCCAUAGCUGGUCUGAGAGGAUGAUCAGCCACAUUGGGACUGAGACACGGCCCAAACUCCGACGGGAGGCAGCAGUGGGGAAUAGUGGACAAUGGGCGCAAGCCUGAUCCAGCCAUGCCGCGUGAGUGAUGAAGGCGUUAGGGUUGUAAAGCUCUUUCACCGAUGAAGAUAAUGACGGUAGUCGGAGAAGAAGCCCCGGCUAACUUCGUGCCAGCCGCCGCCGUAAAAC
rnacentral:rRNA from 1 species